CUACGGGUGGCUCCAGUGAGGAAUAUUGCACAAUGGGGGGAACCCUGAUGCAGCAACGCCGCGUGGAGGAUGACGCACUUCGGUGUGUAAACUCCUUUUAUAUGUCAAGAAAAUGACGGUAGCAUAUGAAUAAGCACUGGCUAACUCCGUGCCAGCAGCCGCGGUAAUACGGAGGGUGCAAGCGUUACUCGGAAUCACUGGGCGUAAAGGACGCGUAGGCGGGUUGGAAAGUCAGGUGUGAAAUCCUACAGCUUAACUGUAGAACUGCACUUGAAACUUCUAAUCUAGAGUAUGGGAGGGGGAGAUGGAAUUAGUGGUGUAGGGAUAAAAUCCGUAGAUAUCACUAGGAAUACCUAAAGCGAAGGCGAUCUCCUGGAACAUUACUGACGCUAAGGCGUGAAAGCGUGGGGAGCAAACAGGAUUAGAUACCCUUGUAGUC
rnacentral:rRNA from 1 species